GCUUGAGGCAGUGAGAAAACUACCAAAAAACUUUCACUUGAAACAAAGCGAGAGAUAUGGUAAAGGACUUGAGUGCAGGAGAGGGGAGCAGAAUUCCCAGUGUAGCGGUGAAAUGCGUAGAUAUUGGGAGGAAUACCAGUGGCGAAGGCGGCUCUCUGGACUGUAACUGACACUGAGGCGCGAAAGCGUGGGGAGCGAACAGGAUUAGAUACCCUGGUAGUCCACGCCGUAAACGAUGAGUGCUAGGUGUUGCGGGUAUCGAUCCCUGCAGUGCCGCAGUAAACACAAUAAGCACUC
rnacentral:ncRNA from 1 species